AGAGUUUGAUCCUGGCUCAGAUUGAACGCUGGCGGCAUGCCUUACACAUGCAAGUCGAACGGCAGCAUGAUCUAGCUUGCUAGAUUGAUGGCGAGUGGCGAACGGGUGAGUAAUACAUCGGAACGUGCCCUGUAGUGGGGGAUAACUAGUCGAAAGAUUAGCUAAUACCGCAUACGACCUGAGGGUGAAAGUGGGGGACCGCAAGGCCUCAUGCUAUAGGAGCGGCCGAUGUCUGAUUAGCUAGUUGGUGAGGUAAAGGCUCACCAAGGCGACGAUCAGUAGCUGGUCUGAGAGGACGAUCAGCCACACUGGGACUGAGACACGGCCCAGACUCCUACGGGAGGCAGCAGUGGGGAAUUUUGGACAAUGGGCGAAAGCCUGAUCCAGCAAUGCCGCGUGUGUGAAGAAGGCCUUCGGGUUGUAAAGCACUUUUGUCCGGAAAGAAAUGGCUCUGGUUAAUACCUGGGGUCGAUGACGGUACCGGAAGAAUAAGGACCGGCUAACUACGUGCCAGCAGCCGCGGUAAUAC
rnacentral:rRNA from 1 species